rnacentral:rRNA from 1 species
GAUGAACGCUGGCGGCGUGCCUAAUACAUGCAAGUCGAGCGAACAGACGAGGAGCUUGCUCCUCUGACGUUAGCGGCGGACGGGUGAGUAACACGUGGAUAACCUACCUAUAAGACUGGGAUAACUUCGGGAAACCGGAGCUAAUACCGGAUAAUAUAUUGAACCGCAUGGUUCAAUAGUGAAAGACGGUUUUGCUGUCACUUAUAGAUGGAUCCGCGCCGCAUUAGCUAGUUGGUAAGGUAACGGCUUACCAAGGCAACGAUGCGUAGCCGACCUGAGAGGGUGAUCGGCCCCACUGGACCUGAGACACGAUCCAGACUCCUACGGGAGGCAGCAGUAGGGAAUCUUCCGCAAUGGGCGAAAGCCUGACGGAGCAACGCCGCGUGAGUGAUGAAGGUCUUCGGUUCGUAAAACUCUGUUAUUAGGGAAGAACAAAUGUGUAGUAACUAUGCACGUCUUGACGGUACCUAAUCAGAAAGCCACGGCUAACUACGUG